GGAGCAGGAGCUGGAUCCGGCUUCCGGAAGGAGCUGGUGAGCAGGCUGCUGCACCUGCACUUCAAGGAUGACAAGACCAAAGCAGCAGUCCGCGGCGUGCGGCAGGCCCAGGCAGAAGACGCGCUCCGUGUGGACGUGGACCAGCUGGAGAAGGUGCUUCCGCAGCUGCUCCUGGACUUCUAGGGAUCUCAGCCGUGGCUGAGGCCACCCCCAGAGGAGCCCCUGGUCCACAGAAGCAGGCCUUGUGUUUCCAGCGGCCUCUGAUAAGAGGCAGGGAAGGACCUGAAGGAUUUGGAGUUGAUUCAAACAAGAUCUCUGGGAGUCUCCAGCCUGUGCAGAAGGGGCAGGACUGCAGUGCACUGCGGGCCUUGGAGUGUCCAGUGGGGACACUGGUGUGGGAAGGGGCAGCACCUGGGGAGUCCCUGCCUCUCCUCCCUGGGACAAUAGUGUGCAUGCCACCCGGGGUCCUACAGGCAGGUGCUGGGAAAGGCCUGGCCAGCAGGUAGCCUGUGUGUUUGACAAACAGCAGCUGGCAGCGCUGCCUCCUGCCCACAUUCCUGCCACCCGACAUCAAAGCUGGCGUGUGACCUUUCCAGCCAUGCGAUAUUCCCCUUGGAAGAUGCUUCCCCAGGCUAUAAAUUUGUUCUCACAAAGCAACAUCAAUAAAUCAAAACUGU
rnacentral:lncRNA from 1 species